GAUGAACGCUGGCGGCGUGCCUAAUACAUGCAAGUCGAGCGAACAGACGAGGAGCUUGCUCCUCUGACGUUAGCGGCGGACGGGUGAGUAACACGUGGAUAACCUACCUAUAAGACUGGGAUAACUUCGGGAAACCGGAGCUAAUACCGGAUAAUAUAUUGAACCGCAUGGUUCAAUAGUGAAAGACGGUUUUGCUGUCACUUAUAGAUGGAUCCGCGCCGCAUUAGCUAGUUGGUAAGGUAACGGCUUACCAAGGCAACGAUGCGUAGCCGACCUGAGAGGGUGUUCGGCCACCCUGGAACUGAGAACCGGUCCGGACCCCUACGGGAGGCGGAGGUGGGGAAUCUUCCGCAAUGGGCGAAAGCUUGACGGAGCAACGCGGCGUGAGUGAUGAAGGUCUUCGGUUCGUAAACCUCUUUUAUUGGGGAAAAACAAAUGUGUAAGUAACUAUGCACGUCUUGACGGUACCUAAUCAGAAAGCCACGGCUACCUACUU
rnacentral:rRNA from 1 species